UCGCAAGGGUUAAAACUCAAAGGAAUUGACGGGGACCCGCACAAGCCGGUGGAACAUGUGGUUUAAUUCGAUGCUACGCGAAAAACCCUUACCAAGUCUUGACAUGUUAGUCGUAUAGUAAGAAACUAGCUAGUCAGUUCGGCUGGACUAUCACAGGUGUUGCAUGGCUGUCGUCAGCUCGUGUCGUGAGAUGUUGGGUUAAGUCCCGCAACGAGCGCAACCCUUAUCUUUAAUUGCCAACAGGUUAUGCUGGGAACUUUAAAGAAACUGCCAAUGGAGAAUUGGAGGAAGGUGAGGAUGACGUCAAGUCAGCAUGGCCCUUAUGACUUGGGCUACACACGUGUUACAAUGGUAGUUACAAUAUGAUGCAAUAGGGCGACCUGGAGCAAAUCUAAAAAACCUACCUCAGUUCGGAUUGCACCCUGCAACUCGGGUGCAUGAAGUUGGAAUCGCUAGUAAUCGCAGAUCAGCACGCUGCGGUGAAUACGUUCCCGGGUCUUGUACACACUGCCCGUCAAGCCAUGGAAGUUAAAUUUUCCUUAAGUAAAUGAGCUAACUGCAAAGAGGCAGUUUACCAAGGAGAAUUUAAUGACUGGGGUU
rnacentral:rRNA from 1 species